UACGUAGGAGGCGAGCGUUGUCCGGAAUUACUGGGCGUAAAGAGCGCGUAGGCGGCGCGGUACGACCGCUGUGAAAGCCCCCGGCUCAACUGGGGAGGGUCACGCGAUACUGAUCGACUCGAAGGCAGGAGAGGGUAGUGGAAUUCCCGGUGUAGUGGUGAAAUGCGUAGAUAUGCGGAGGAACACCGAUGGCGAAGGCAAUCCCCUGGGCCUGCACUGACGCUCAUGCACGAAAGCGUGGGGAGCAAACAGG
rnacentral:rRNA from 1 species